UACGUAGGGGGCAAGCGUUGUCCGGAUUUAUUGGGCGUAAAGAGCGUGUAGGCGGCUUUACAGGUCCGUUGUGAAAACUCGAGGCUCAACCUCGAGACGCCGGUGGAAACCGUAAGGCUAGAGUCCGGAAGAGGAGAGUGGAAUUCCUGGUGUAGCGGUGAAAUGCGCAGAUAUCAGGAGGAACACCCGUGGCGAAAGCGGCUCUCUGGGACGGUACUGACGCUAAGGCGCGAAAGCGUGGGGAGCGAACAGG
rnacentral:rRNA from 1 species